rnacentral:rRNA from 1 species
CUGAAAUCAGGCGGGAUUACCCGCUGAACUUAA